rnacentral:rRNA from 1 species
UAUCAUCUUGUUGGUAAGGUAANGGCUUACCAAGGCUAUGACGGGUAUCCCGCCUGAGAGGG